UGGUUAUUUUAGCAAUUUAAAAAUGAUACCUCCGAUUGGUUUUUAUAUGCUUUGAAUUGGAUAAGACUGCCAACUUUGUUGGAAAUGAUGACUUAUACUGGAAUUCGAAUUUCGAUUAAUGAGUCAACUUUUUUGAAAGGCAGAAAAGAACUCGAUUAAUCGUAGUUGAAAAUCGUAUUCGACUGACUUUAUUCAAUCCUCGAAAAUUCUGUUGAAUUUAUAGGUUAAGAGUUAAAUUUUUUAUGAAAAUAAAUUUUUUCAAUUCGAGAAAAUUCAUCAUCAAUACUUAAAUAUACCAAAAUAAUAUCACAAAAGUACAUACAAACGAUUAUUUAACACGUAUACGUGAAAAUAAAAACAAACGGCAAUUAAUCAUUCAAAUAAAGUGUUCAAUUUUUGUCAAUUUUUAAGCCUACAAAAAUCGAUAACAUCGAUUAUUUUACAAUAAUCGACAAUCAACUCUCGACUAUCAUUGGCUUUGCAUUUUUCAUCCCUACUCUUUUCUGUUCUUUUCGGCUGCUCGCCACGCUCGCUUCGCUCGUUCCGGUAUUGCCCCUUUUUUUGUGUUAAGUUCCUAGAAAAUUCUACAAAAAGAGAUGGAUGAAAAAAGUUUGGAGUUUUUGGAAAAUGUGGAUCCCGAGAACGCAGAAUUUUUGAUUGUUCUUUUUAAAGGCAACGUACUACGUACCAAGGCAGCCGAAAACUAAUUUGGUAGGCGCGAAGCAGCCCAGGGGUAAAUUAUAUGAUAAAUAUACCUGUAUAAUAAAAGAUUUGCGUGCUUCAGGAUUACGGUCGAAAGAGUCCGAACAGCCAACAACUGUUCAUGACGAUGGAGUAAAGAGUGAUGAACAGGGUGAAGUGAAGGAAGACCUGGAGUGGUUAAGACGAUGCCUCGAACCCGAGGUUGAGGCUACUGAGCGGUGGAGUAGGACUUCCGAUUAUCGCCUCCAUUCCUUAAGAGUUACUCCUACUAGAAAAAAGGCUAUUUGUCGUCAAAUUCAUUCAAUUACAAUUUAUUUGAAAAUAAAGAACUUAUUGAAAAUUUUUUUAAGCAAUUAAAAUAGAUAUAAUAUCACUGGUAGAUGGUUUUAUGAACCAACUAAAUACCAACCAUAUACAAAAAAUUGGAUCAAGCAAACAAGCGCUUGUUUUGUCGAACUCUCUCAGUUGGUGAAUAUAUCCAAUUCCUGUGGAUCCAAGAAAACUAGAUAAUCCAACCAACAAAUUGGAUCGCUCCCCAGCACCUAUUUAAAAUAGUUGUAUUAUCCAAUUCACAGGUGUAUAUUUCCAAC